CCUACGGGGGGCAGCAGUGGGGGAUAUUGCACAAUGGGGGGAACCCUGAUGCAGCGACGCCGCGUGGGUGAAGAAGCGCCUCGGCGCGUAAAGCCCUGUCAGCAGGGAAGAAAAUGACGGUACCUGAAGAAGAAGCCCCGGCUAACUACGUGCCAGCAGCCGCGGUAAUACGUGGGGGGCAAGCGUUAUCCGGAUUUACUGGGGGUAAAGGGGGCGCAGACGGCGAUGCAAGCCAGGAGGGAAAGCCCGGGGCCCAACCCCGGGACUGCUCUUGGAACUGCGUGGCUGGGGUGCAGGAGGGGCAGGCGGAGGUCCUGGUGUCGCGGUGAAGUGCGUGGAUAUCAGGAGGAACCCCGGUGGCGAAGGAGGCCUGCUGGACUGCAACUGACGUUGAGGCCCGAAGGCGUGGGACGCAAACGGGCUUGGUUACCCAGUAGUC
rnacentral:rRNA from 1 species